GAGCUUGCUCCCUUAGGUCAGCGGCGGACGGGUGAGUAACACGUGGGUAACCUGCCUGUAAGACUGGGAUAACUCCGGGAAACCGGGGCUAAUACCGGAUGCUUGAUUGAACCGCAUGGUUCAAUCAUAAAAGGUGGCUUUUAGCUACCACUUGCAGAUGGACCCGCGGCGCAUUAGCUAGUUGGUGAGGUAACGGCUCACCAAGGCGACGAUGCGUAGCCGACCUGAGAGGGUGAUCGGCCACACUGGGACUGAGACACGGCCCAGACUCCUACGGGAGGCAGCAGUAGGGAAUCUUCCGCAAUGGACGAAAGUCUGACGGAGCAACGCCGCGUGAGUGAUGAAGGUUUUCGGAUCGUAAAACUCUGUUGUUAGGGAAGAACAAGUACCGUUCGAAUAGGGCGGUACCUUGACGGUACCUAACCAGAAAGCCACGGCUAACUACGUGCCAGCAGCCGCGGUAAUACGUAGGUGGCAAGCGUUGUCCGGAAUUAUUGGGCGUAAAGCGCGCGCAGGCGGUUUCUUAAGUCUGAUGUGAAAGCCCCCGGCCCAACCGGGGAGGGUCAUUGGAAACUGGGGAACUUGAGUGCAGAAGAGGAGAGUGGAAUUCCACGUGUAGCGGUGAAAUGCGUAGAGAUGUGGAGGAACACCAGUGGCGAAGGCGACUCUCUGGUCUGUAACUGACGCUGAGGCGCGAAA
rnacentral:rRNA from 1 species